CACCUGGUUGAUCCUGCCCAGUAGUCAUAUGCUUGUCUCAAAGAUUAAGCCAUGCAUGUCUAAGUAUAAGCUUUAAACGGCGAAACUGCGAAUGGCUCAUUAAAACAGUUAUAGUUUAUUUGGUGAUCGAUUACUAUUUGGAUAACCGUAGUAAUUCUAGAGCUAAUACAUGCGUCAAGGCCCGACUUCGGAAGGGCUGCGUUUAUUAGAUACAGAACCAACCUAGGCUCCGCCUAGUCCUUGUUGGUGAUUCAUAAUAACCCGGCGAAUCGCACGGCUUGUCCGGCGAUGGACCAUUCAAGUUUCUGACCUAUCAGCUAUGGACGGUAGGGUAUUGGCCUACCGUGGCGUUGACGGGUAACGGGGAAUUAGGGUUCGAUUCCGGAGAGGGAGCCUGAGAAACGGCUACCACAUCUAAGGAAGGCAGCAGGCGCGCAAAUUACCCAAUCCUGAUACAGGGAGGUAGUGACAAGAAAUAACAAUACAGGGCAAUUCUGUCUUGUAAUUGGAAUGAGUAGAUUUUAAAUCUCUUUACGAGUAUCAAUUGGAGGGCAAGUCUGGUGCCAGCAGCCGCGGUAAUUCCAGCUCCAAUAGCGUAUAUUAAAGUUGUUGCGGUUAAAAAGCUCGUAGUUGGAUUUCUGCCUUGGGCGACCGAUCCACCUUUCCUACGGGAUUGGUCGGUAUCAGGUUUGACCUUGGCUUUUUCUUGGGAUUCGUGCUCACGUACUUAACUGUGCGUUGACCGUGUUCCAAGACUUUUACUUUGAGGAAAUUAGAGUGUUUCAAGCAGGCUUAUGCCAUGAAUACAUUAGCAUGGAAUAAUAGGAUAUGACUUCGGUCAUAU
rnacentral:ncRNA from 1 species